UUGAAAGAAGAAAUGGAAAGAAAAAAAAUGGAAGAAAUGAGUAAAAUAAGAAGACAAAGAGAACUAGAAAUAGAAGAAAGGUUACUAAGAAGAAAAAGAGACGACUCAAGAGGUGGUGAUAGAUCAUAUAGAAAAUCAUCACGUGAUCGUGAACGUGAUCAUAGUAGUGAACACCAUGGAUGGAAAAGAAGUGAAAAAAAUGGAACACAUUAUGACGAAGAUAAUUACAAACGUUUAGAUUAUGAGGAUGAUAGCCGAGAUGAACAUUAUUCAUCACAUAGAGAUAGGCUAGAGAGAAGAGAAAGAGGAAGGGAUCAUUCAUCACGUGAUGGAAGAACUGGUUCGAGAGAAAGAAGACAUAGAAGAGAUGGUUCCAAGGAUAGAGAACAUAGAAGAGGAGGUUCAAAAGAUAGAGAUCAUAGAAGAGGAGGCUCAAAAGAUAGAGAUCAUAGAAGAGGAGGUUCAAAAGACAGGGAAAGAGAACAUAGAAGAGAUGUAGAGCAUAGGAGAGAUAAAGACAGAGAACACAGGAGAGGAGGUUCAAAGGAUAGGGAUCAUAGAAGAGGAGGAUCUAAAGAUAGGGAUAGAGAACAUAGAAGAGCAGGAUCAAAAGACAAGGAUAGAGAACAUAGAAGAGAUGUAGAUCAUGUUAAAGAGAAAGACAGGGAUAGAGAACACAGAAGAGGAAGUUCCAAAGAUAGAGACCAUAGAAGAGAUGUAGAAAUUGGUAAGGAUAAAGAUAGAGAACACAGAAGAGGAGGUUCAAAGGAUAGGGAUAGGGAACACAGAAGAAAUGGUGAUCGUGAAAAAGAGAGAGAUCGAGAUCGAACUAGUUAUGAUAGCAAACACAGAAAAAAACAUGAACACGAUGUAGAAGAUAAAAGUGAAAGAGACAUAAAACGAAGUGAAAGAGUAAGUAAAAAAGAACAAGAAAAAAUAUUAAACAAUGGUAUUCAUGAUAAAACAAAAAAUAGAUGGAACUCGAAAGAAGUAGAAUAUGAUAAUACAGAAGAGGAGGAAGAUGAUGUAAGUGAUAAUACUGAUACUGAAGGUGAUCAUGUAUAUAAGAGUAAAGGGAAAGACAGAUAUGUAAAUAAAGAAAGUGCUCAUGACAAAAAACAUAAUCAUAUAA
rnacentral:lncRNA from 1 species